rnacentral:rRNA from 2 species
CCCAGACAGCCAGGAUGUUGGCUUAGAAGCAGCCAUCAUUUAAAGAAAGCGUAAUAGCUCACUGGUCGAGUCGGCCUGCGCGGAAGAUGUAACGGGGCUAAACCAUGCACCGAAGCUGCGGCAGCGACACUGUGUGUUGUUGGGUAGGGGAGCGUUCUGUAAGCCUGCGAAGGUGGCCUGUGAGGGUUGCUGGAGGUAUCAGAAGUGCGAAUGCUGACAUAAGUAACGAUAAAGCGGGUGAAAAGCCCGCUCGCCGGAAGACCAAGGGUUCCUGUCCAACGUUAAUCGGGGCAGG